rnacentral:rRNA from 1 species
AUUGAACGCUGGCGGCAUGCCUUACACAUGCAAGUCGAACGGGUUUUGGGGGCUUGCUCCCAAAGCUAGUGGCGAACGGGUGAGUAAAGUAUCGGAACGUACCAUUCAGUGGGGGAUAACGUAGCGAAAGUUACGCUAAUACCGCAUAUUCUGUGAGCAGGAAAGCAGGGGAUCGCAAGACCUUGCGCUGAUUGAGCGGCCGAUAUCAGAUUAGCUGGUUGGUGGGGUAAAGGGCUCACCAAGGCGACGAUCUGUAGCGGGGUCUGAGAGGAUGAUCCGCCCACACUGGGACUGAGACACGGCCCAGACUCCUACGGGAGGCAGCAGUGGGGAAUUUUGGACAAUGGGGGCAACCCUGAUCCAGCCAUGCCGCGUGAGUGAAGAAGGCUCGGUUGUAAGACCUUCGUGGGAAGAAUACGCGCGUCUCUACAUAGGUGUGGAUGACGGUACCGCAUAAGAAGACCGCUAACUACGUGCCAGC